AAAGUAUUGUUGAAUGUACUGACAAGCUAUUAUGGUAAAAUAAAAUAAAAAAUUGAUGUCAUUUCUAUUGAAACUUUUAUGUCAUGUAUUUAAAUUUGUAAUUAGCUACAGUUUCGGUGCCUUGCUCAAAGGCACCUCAGUCGUGGUAUUGCCGGCCUGAGACUCGAACCCACAACCUUAGGGUUAGGAAUCAAACUCUCUAACCACUAGGCCACGACUUCCCCACAUAAAUACACAUGCAAGACAAUUGAAUGCACUUCUUUUUCACAUAGGGCUGCUAAAGUGAUAUUAGAAUGAAUAAAUAAAUCAAAUUCCUAAAUGCAGAUUUAACAAGCUGGGUUUGGAUAAGGUCUCUGGCGCAGAGGAGCCCCCAUCUCACUGCCAGGUGGAGGAGAUCCACAUGUUCCAGCCCGUCCACUCGGCUCUCUAAAUGUUGAGAAGAUUGUGUUUAUAGACAUCGGUACAGCACACUCUGUUGCAGUCACAGAGAAAGGUCAGUGUUUCAGUAACCAGCAUGGGCAGCUUGGUUGCAGUUCCCGCCAAAGCAGCUGAGUGCCCUAUCAAGUGUCAGGACUGCAGGAGAUCACCAUAGCCGCGUGUGGCGAUGCUUUCACUCUGCCUAUCGGAGCAGGAUCUGACAUGCAAAGAAACAGAAGGACAAAGAUGUCAUUCAGCCAAAUGAUGUUCAGAACUCUUUUUUUGAAGAGCCCGUUCCAAAGUGACAUCACUGCCUCUGCCCAAAUCACUGCACACACUCAGCUCCUGUCCAUGAGGACACUAGUGUGGAUUCAUUAAGAAUUUUAAGCUAUGCAGUUGUGUUAAUAAUGUAACAGACACUGUAUGUAAAGCUUUUUAUAACAACAACAACAAUUAUUAUUAUUAUUUUUAUGUAGCAUUGUAAAUAAUGCCUGGUUUCUCAACAAGGUCUGACUGCCUUGAAGAAAAACACAACAAAACAACUAUAUGAAGAUAAUUAUGUGCUGCUUAUGUUAACACAUAAUUUAACAACAAUUGAAACUGUUAAAACACAGUUUCUAAAGUGUAUUGUAA
ensembl:lncRNA